GGCUCCGUGGCCUAAUGGAUAAGGCAUCUGACUUCGGAUCAGAAGAUUGCGGGUUCGAGUCCCGUCGGGGUCG
rfam:Schistosoma mansoni strain Puerto Rico chromosome 2, complete genome